rnacentral:tRNA from 1 species
UACUAAGAUGACAGAUUAAAUGUAAUAGUUUUAAAAAUUAUAAAUGGAGUUACCUCUUAGUA